UGCUCUUCCCUCCGCUUCUCGGCUGGCGAUGGGGGGGUGGAAGAAGGCGGUCCCUCCAACUCCAGCAGCCCGCCAGGUAUGAUUCCACACCCUUAUAUGAUACAUUAUGCUUGGCAAAGGACUAAUGUAUGAUCAUUUAAGCAUAACAAGUGUGCCAUGUGGUAAGCUUGAGCUGCAAAGUGGAACGACAUGAAAAAUAAGGAAGCUUCCCGUGACCAUAUACUAAAGGAAGGAUAAGAAUUGAUUCAAUGUGUUUAAGGAGAAAAAUAAAAUGAUACAACAAGUGGUGUUCCAAGUUUGCCAGACUCAUUGUGACAGCAACCCUGAAGACUUCAGAAUGAAUAUCCAGUUCAGAGAUAACCUCAGCCUCUAAUGUUCCACCUGAGUGAAGAAUGGACAGACUGAUGGGACAGUGACAGAUCGACUUAUACUUUUCAACAGCAUCUGUGUGCAGAAAGGCACAAAAUAAAUGGAUGAAGAAACAUUUCAGGAAAAUUUAUAAUGUUUUUGUA